AUGGCUUUGCCGGCCUCGAUCUCCCACCUGGCUCACUUGGGACAGAAGCUAUGGCUGCAGGACACAGGGAAAAGCUUCUUGUGCGACGGCUGCCGUGAGCCCGGCGGGGGCGAGAGGUACAGGUGCCAUCCAUGCGACUUCGACCUCCACAAGCAUUGCGCCUUGGACAAGAGCAUGGCUUUGCCAGCCUCGAUCUCUCACCCCGCCCACUUGGGACACAGGCUGUCGCUGGAGGCGACCGAGUACUGGGAGUUCGUGUGCAACGGCUGCCGUGAGAGUGGUGCGGGGGAGAGGUACAGGUGCCGGGUCUGCAGGUUCGACCUCCACACGCAGUGCGCCUUGGAAGAAGGAACCAAGAUCAUGGCUUUCCCACGCUCCAUCUCGCACCCAGACCAUUGGGGGCACAAGCUGUCGCUGGAGGCGACUGACUACUGGAAGUUCGUGUGCAACGGCUGCCGUAAGAGCGGGUUGGGCGAGAGGUACAGGUGCCGGGCCUGCAAAUUUGACCUCCACAAGCAGUGCGCCUGGGGCCAAGGGACCAACAUCAUGGCCUCCUCAGGCUUGAUCUCCCACUCGGCCCACUGGGAACACAUGCUGACGCUGUGCGCCCCUGGCCUCUCCAACUUCGUGUGCAACGGCUGCCGUGAGCCCGGCACGGAGGAAAGGUACAGGUGCCAUGCAUGCGACUUUGACCUCCACAAGCAAUGCGCCUUGGACCAAGGAACCAAGCUUGUGCACCCGCUGCUUAAGAACGUCGAGUUGGAGCUCCGGUUCCAGGGCCCCAAGGACGGCGCCAGGCUGGUGUGCGACGCCUGUGGCAACGCCGUGCUGGGAUUCCACUACCACAGCAGCAAGCUGUGCCUCCGGCUCCAUCCAUGCUGCGCAAAUCCACUGUAUGACAAGAAGAAGGAGGAUGAUGGUCGCGGGAGAGAUCAGCCGUCCAGGAGUAAAUUCCAGCGCACAUUGUCUGUCAGCGGGCAUAUCAGUGACGCGAUAGAUACUGGAGAAGCGAUAGCUGAUCUCUUCAACUCAAUUAAUCUAGACGAUGGCGGUUCCGUAGAGGAACCCGACUUCGACUUUGACUUUUAA
rnacentral:rRNA from 1 species